GUGCUAGCUUCGGCAGCACAUAUACUAAAAUUGGAACUAUACAGAGAAGAUUAGCAUGGCCCCUGUGCAAGGAUGACACACAAAUUUGUGAAGCGUUCCAUAUUUUU
rnacentral:snRNA from 1 species